rnacentral:rRNA from 1 species
UACGUAGGGGGCUAGCGUUGUCCGGAUUUAUUGGGCGUAAAGAGCGUGUAGGCGGCCUGGUAGGUCUGCUGUGAAAACUCGAGGCUCAACCUCGGAGAUGUCGGCGGAAACUGUCUGGCUAGAGUCCGGAAGAGGAGAGUGGAAUUCCUGGUGUAGCGGUGAAAUGCGCAGAUAUCAGGAGGAACACCGAUGGCGAAGGCAGGUCUCUGGGCCACUACUGACGCUGAGAAGCGAAAGCAUGGGGAGCGAACAGG